CUAAGACCCAUGGAACACAACCACAGCCCACAGCAUGUUGCCACAGUAUGUAAGCCCUGCCACACAACAUGGCUUUUUACCUAACUUGUUUUAACAAAGGGAAGAGUGAAGAAAACGCGUGACAUCCCCUCUGGCAAAGUUUACCUUCGCACCACUAUCCUCAUAAUAUAGACAGCAAAGACUACAGGUCACUGCUAGAAGAGACUGAGAAACAAGGCCACCUUAGAUGUACCUCCCCAGCCUAAUGGCAGCCCCACCCAUCCAGUUACCGAGACCCUCCUUGACUCCUUGAAUCAACCGCUCUCCACAAAGAAUCCAUCCGAAUAGGUGUCAGUGCUCCCUUUAAGCUUCCCAUCACCCGCCGCCAGCUGCAGGGUGAUCAUCACCUCUUCCCGAUCCUCAUCUGCCUCAUCCAACCAGACUCCUGUUCUUCUUAGCACUGCUUUUGUGAUGCUCCUCAAAGCUGUCUCCUGGCUGCAUCUCUGACUUGGUGCUCAUCCUCCUGACGGUCUGCCAGAAGCAUCACGAUGCCUCCCGAGGGGCCCGCCACCUGCAGCUGCUUCCCACUUCAACCCACCCAGUCACAGCAGCCAGAACUUUCUGCCAAAAACCCAGGGCAUCUCCGCUAUUCAAAAGCUUCCGAUGGGCUUGCCCAUGACAUACAUAGUAAAAUCUGACAAUCCAC